GCGGUUGGUGGCGGCGCUGGCGCUGGUUAGAGGUUCGCCGGUGACGUGCGCGCCCGAGUUGGGGGAGAGGACCAGAACCACCUGCUGGAGAAGGGGAGCUACGGGGGCCGGGCAGGGUCCAAACGCCUCACGUAGGCGGCGGCACCACGGUCUUCGGGGUCACAGGGAAGAGAAGGGCUGUCGAGCGGGUGGAAGGAGGGAGGCCUCCCGAGGGAAUGAGACUCCAGGCCACUCCCCCGCAGCAAGGCAGGAUCACCUGCGUCUCGGAGAGCAGUUAGAGGGCCCUGGAGUGGAAAAGGGCGGUGGGACCUGGUAGCCCGGGUUCCCUGCGACGUGAGGUUCGACCUCCAGGCAGUGAAGUAGGGAUGGUCCUGCAAGUCAAGAUUCCAGUAGCAAGACUGCAUCAGCUCUCUGUAAGGAAAAUAACAUUUCUCCGUUCCCUGUAGAGUUGCAGGGCGCUUUAACGUUAUCUCCAUCAGGUAGUAGUGGUCUAACUACGGGCGAAGUUAAGUGACUUACCCAAAGCCUCACAGCUAAUAAACGGGAGAGCCGGCACCCAGCCGUACUGGCUUCCAAUUCUGUGAGCUUACCAGCGCAUCACAUUAUCUCCAUAAAUCCCCCUGAUUCAACUAAUAGUAGACGCCCCACAGGUAAGAUGCUGCAGAGUUACAGAGGGGAGUUGAAGAUAUCUUUGCCUUCAAAUAACUAAGGAAUAAAACAAAGAUAAAAUAGACAAUAAAAGACAAACCAUGAUAGGUUCCAUGUGAAAAGUGGCAGAGUACUGCUGGGAAUCAAAGAACCGUGUAUAUCUGUCUUGGGGAUAAAGAAAGAAAGGCAGCAUGAAGGAGUAGGCAUUUGGGAUUGACCUUGAAGGAGACAGAGUUUUACAGCAAGAAGGGAUAGCAUGAGUAUAUAUACGAAGGCGAAUCAGUGAAAGUUGUGUUGGGGAAAGAGCAAAGACUCCAGGGUAUGUUGAGAAGUGGCAAAGACAAAGGAGUAUGGGGCCUAAGAUACCAAAUGGAUGAAUUUGUAUUUAAUUCAGCAUUUUGAGUUUUCAUGGUUUAGAAGUUUGGGGGAAGAAAAGAAGGUUUUUUUCUUUGCACUAUUGAUUUAUCUGUGAGGGGAAGCAGAAAUUAGAGGUGGAAAAACUGACAGUUCUACUGUAGGCCAGGUAAAAGGUAAUGAUGAGUCUGACCUAAAGGGACAGCCAGGGGAAUUUAAAAGAGCAUGGUUGAGAGAUGAUGUGCGUGCAGAAUCUAUAGAAUUUGGCAACUGAUUGAUUAAUUGUGGGUAGGAAGAGAGAAAUCAAAGAAAGUGGAGGUUUUGAGUUUGUAGAUAAUUGCAAGAUUGAAAAGAGACAAUUACAAACAAAGGAAAGGAGGAGCUACUUCUUGAGAGAAGAUCAGUUUAGAUUUGGACAUUUUAAGAAUUCAAAGGGUUGUCAAGACAGCCAGAGAGCCAUGGACACUAAUAUGUUAGAAAUAAAGGUUUUGUAGUAUGAGAAAGAGGACCGAACUAGAAAAUAGACUCAUUGAUAAUCAGCCUAGCGGUAAUAUUGCUGUGAGAUAAGACGACAACGGUCAGAAUCUUGGAAAACACCCUCUUUAGAGUCUCACUCCUCAAAACGUGGUCAGUGGCCCAGCAGCACUGACAGGAGGACGUUAGUUAGAAACUCAGAAUCUCAGGGCCCGCCCCAGACCUGCUGAACCAGCAUCUUCAACUGAACGAGAAUCCGAAGAGAUUUGUGCCACAUCAAAAAGUUUGAGAAGCUCUGAUCUAGGUGAGCGAAGCCAGCAAAGAAAGGGUGUAGAACAGAAAGUGGGAGGAGAAUAGGGUAAUGCAGAAUCAUCAGCAAGGUAAAUUGGAGUUUCACAAAAGCAGGACUGAAAGGAGUGUUGGUCAACAAUAUCCAAAACCACAGAGGUUGAAAAGCACAAGGAAAGAAGCUGGACCGUGGACACAGUGACUCUACUUCAGUUAUGCAGAUGACCACAAGCCUCCGGAGUUGGCAGAGCCACAAGAAAGAAGGUGCUUGGAUGAAGGAGAGCUACCCACUGACCUGGACACCCAAUUAUUCAUCUGUCUUAGAGCUAUUGGAAUCCUGGAUCAUUGUGGGAAAUGAAAGGUAAGUAAGUACAUGCCUAUAAUUUGUUGUUGGUAAGUGUGGAAUGGGGUCCAAGGAAUGGUUCGUUUAAAAAUAAGACACUUCAGACCACAUAACUUGUUUUUUUUUUUUUUGAGACGGAGUCUCCCUCUGU